CCGCCUGUAGCUCAAUGGUAGAGCGCGAAGCUUAUACCUUCGUGGUUUCAGGUUCGAGUCCUGACGGGCGGA
rnacentral:tRNA from 1 species